rnacentral:tRNA from 1 species
CCCUGGUUAGCUCAGUUUGUAGAGCGCGCCCCUAGAAAUGCAGAGGUCCCGGGUUCGACACCCGGACCAGGCG